GCGGGGCUGCCUUUCGCGCCAGGUAUCUCAUCCCCGGGGCCAAUGUGCAUCCUCCGGGAACUGGCUCUGUCCGGACCGUGGUCCGGGUAUCUGGUGCCCACCUGCUUCAGCAGGCCUUGGGAGGAUGAAUCGCCAGCGGUCAUGGUGGCUCCGCA
rfam:Roseomonas mucosa strain SAVE376 contig00082, whole genome shotgun sequence.